UCUGUAGGAAUCAGAUAAUUUCCUAAGAGGAGUGUUUCACCACUAGAUGAUAAACAACGAUCUAUGGGAGUGGUGAGGAAGCCAGAUCAGAGAAGGCACCACAGAUGAGGAAGAGCAAGGAGAGGCUUGGAUGGCUGGAGACACGCUUCACAGGGUCUGCACAAGCCCACUGUUGAAUAAUGGCAUAAAAUAAAACCGAAUAUAAAUCAAUGAGAAAAAUUAUGAAACACAGCACAUGCAACAACAGCAAAGAAUUAAAUCUCUGAAGUUAAAGUUAACUAAAAGCAUGUCAGUGAUCAGUGAUCAACGAGGUUGGACGCACAUAGUCAACCAACUUGUUUUCUUCCUUUUAUUGUGCUAUUAAUAUAAUAAAAAACUUGGAGAGGAAUUUAUUACAGCCAAAUCAUGGAAACACACACAAGAAAUGCCUAAAUAAAGUACCUACAUGACUUUGAUUGCAAAA